rnacentral:rRNA from 1 species
UACGUAGGGUGCGAGCGUUGUCCGGAAUUAUUGGGCGUAAAGAGCUUGUAGGCGGUCUGUCGCGUCUGCUGUGAAAAUCCGGGGCUCAACCCCGGACUUGCAGUGGGUACGGGCAGACUAGAGUGUGGUAGGGGAGACUGGAAUUCCUGGUGUAGCGGUGAAAUGCGCAGAUAUCAGGAGGAACACCGGUGGCGAAGGCGGAUCUCUGGGCCGUAACUGACGCUGAGGAGCGAAAGCAUGGGGAGCGAACAGG